rnacentral:lncRNA from 1 species
AAUACUUUAAAAAAUUAUUCGAAGUCAUUUUUUUUCAUGCAUCACUCUGCAGUCUUCAUAAACAAGAUAAUUAAAUAACUUAAACUCAAAAUUAUCUUCCUUGUUAAUUUAUUUGACAAGUAACAUUGUACUGGUGUAAGAUAACACAUUUCUUACACUCAAGUACAUCAAGGCACAUUGUUGCUCCUGUAAACUCUGACAGAUAGGCCUACAGUUAAAGUAAUUUUAUUUUGCCCUCCAUUUCAUUUAAAUUAUGUUUCUGACCAUUUUUACAGUGCUUCCUAAAAAAAAUUAUUCUGGAGUCAUAAUAAGUCCUAUUUCUUAUUGUUUAUUUCGUGAUUAAAGGCAGUUUUUAAUUUAAAUAAAAAUAUGCUAAGUAUUAUUAGCCUUUUUAAGAAAUAUUUACAGUAUCUUUUUGAUAUACACAACAAAUCAGUUACAAAAUAAUUUUACUAAUUAUUUCAACUUUUGUAGGGAACUGAUUAAGUCUAAAUUACACUUUAAUCUUAAUAAAAGACUAUAAAAUACUUAAAGAAACUUUGUCUGAAUACAACUGUCUUGCAAAAUAGCUAAUAAAAUGUUAUUCACUGACUGUCAGCAUGGUGAAGAUAAAAAAGUAGAUAUUAGAAUUAGUUAAACUCAUGUUUAAAAAUGUGUUGUAAAUAAAUCAUGUGUUGAAG